rnacentral:rRNA from 1 species
UACAUAGGGGUCAAGCGUUGUCCGGAUUUAUUGGGCGUAAAGCGUAUGUAGGCGGCCGAUUAAGUCAGGCGUGCAAGCCCGUGGCUCAACCACGGAAUUGCGUUUGAAACUGGUCGGCUUGAGUAUAGAAGAGGAAAGCGGAAUUCCCAGUGUAGCGGUGAAAUGCAUUGAUAUUGGGAAGAACAUCUGUGGCGAAGGCGGCUUUCUGGUCUGUUACUGACGCUGAGAUACGAAAGCCAGGGGAGCGAACGGG